GCACAGAUGCAAAUACCAGUUUGUAAAUUUCUCUCACUCAGCCCCAACACAUUUGUCAGCCUUGUCUUAAAAGUUUGAUAUGGGUGGAAGUAUUGUUCUGGAGAGUAGGGAGGCUCCACCAAGGGAUCUGGACAGGCUGGAUAGAUGGGCCAAAACCAAUUGUAUGAGGUACAACAAGGCCAAGUGUCAGGUUCUGCCCCUGGGUCACAACAACCCCACACAGCACUACAGGCUGGGCCAGAGCAGCUGGAAAGCUGCCUGGUGGAAAAGAACCUGGGGGUGCUGGUUGACAACAAUUGGCCAUGAGCCAGCAGUGCCCAGGUGGCCAAGAAAGCCAAUGGCAUCCUAGCCAUUGUGUCAGCAAUAGUGUGGCCACCAGGACAGUGAUUGUUUCCUGGUACUUGGCACUGGUGAGGUCUCACAUCAAGUACUGUUUCCAGUUCUGGACCCAUCAAUUAAUUCAAGAAGGAAAAUGAGGUGCUGGAUUGAGUCCAGAGGAGGGUAACAGAGCUGGUGAAGGCUCUGGAGUGCAUCUCCUAUGACAUCUCCCUGAAAGGAGGGUGUAGCCAGGUGGGUGUCAGUCUCUUUUGCCAGGCAACCAGUGACAGGGCAAGAGAACACAGUCUUAAGCUAUGCCAGGAAAGGUUUAGGUUGCACAUUAGGAGGAUAUUGGAACGGGUUGUUAAGGGAGGUGGUGAAGUCACUGUCCCUGGAAGUGUUUAAGGAAAGACUGGAUGUGGCACUCAGUACCAUAUCUAGUUGAUGUGGUGGUGUUCAGUCAUUGAUUAUAUCAGAGGUCUUUUCCAACCUAAUUGAUUCUGUGAUUUGGUGGGGUCAGGAAGCUAUGCAGGAGUAAAAAUGCAGGUGUUGGAAUAGUAGUUGCUGCUGCCUAAAAUCUGUCCUCCACAAGCCUCUCCUGUGGAAAAGCAAGUUGAGAUAACCUUCAGGCAACGCAGUCAGACCCUCACUCGACACUCACCACAGCUGGCUGAGCGAUAGAGGCAAGAAAGGCUCUUUUUGCAGGGUUUUAUUCCAGCAAAGGAUAUCACGUGUGGCUGAAGGGAACCCAGCGAGGGCCGAGAACUUGGGAAUUGACCGACGUGGGAGAGUUGAUGGGAUGCUACACAGGAGCAGUCCCAAACUGACAUCAUGGCCCCACGUAGAGCUGCAACACCUGGCAAUGCCUCAAGAGUGCCUGACAGUUUUGGUGCUGAUGUUCCUGUAUGCUUUAUCGCUAAUGUUAAGUGCAGUCUCAUAGGAUGUAGAAAAACUUAAUGAAGUCUGCCAUAAUCAUUGCCCAAAAAGGAUCCUUUUCCCAGGCCUGUGACACUGCUUUGCUCUCAGCUUGUUGGAUGAAGGUUCUACCAGCAGUGUGGGGCUGUUUAGAGGGACUGUCAUCAGGAUAAUUAGAAAGCCAACCCCAGGAUCUCCCGCAACCUACUUGCUAACUUAGGACCUCUGAGGUUCUAAGGAAUGCACCAUACAUCUCCUCUGGGCAGCUCCCAGACAUACUGCUUUAUCACAAGAGCCCUCACACUUAGUCUUGAUUCCUCCUCUUGAUACCAUGGAUGAAGAAAAUGACACACAGCCGCUACUCAGUGAUAUCAAGGGCUAUCAGUGGAACUAGAGAGAGUACACAGCCUUCCUGACAUUGCCAAUAAACAGGGGCAGGCCCUUUCAUCAGGGCAACAUCAGGGAUCAGCUAGUUUAGGCAUUAUCUCUUUGUGUGGCCUAAAAUGACUGAGACUGCUGAGGCACUUGUGCAAUCAAUGCAGAGGACUAAACCUCCCAAUAUCAGCAGCUGGAAGUUACCAACUGAAAGACAAAUCAUUCCCUGUAAAAUCUGGCCCAGUCUGUCAGGAUUUGGGGCUUGUCAGUCUCCUGAUUUUUAAACUGGUGAUGAGGUUCUCAGAUGCCUUGGCAAUGGGCAACCUGCCAUGCAAGCAACUGAAGCAGCCAAAUAAAUGAUGAGUCAAAGAGUCUCAAUAAAAAUGAAACAUAAUGACUUAAAUCAAAUUUAACAUCCAAAUACUUCCUGCAAACUGGUGCAAUUGAAGCAUGACAUAGAAACAGGAAUG